rnacentral:rRNA from 1 species
UACGAAGGGGGCUAGCGUUGCUCAGAAUUACUGGGCGUAAAGGGAGCGUAGGCGGACAUUUAAGUCAGGGGUGAAAUCCCAGAGCUCAACUCUGGAACUGCCUUUGAUACUGGGUGUCUUGAGUGUGAUAGAGGUAUGUGGAACUCCGAGUGUAGAGGUGAAAUUCGUAGAUAUUCGGAAGAACACCAGUGGCGAAGGCGACAUACUGGAUCAUUACUGACGCUGAGGCUCGAAAGCGUGGGGAGCAAACAGG